UCCCUUAACCUAAAAAUACACACAAGACACAUACAAAAAAGGGCAGCCAUCUUCGUCUACAAGACAACAACAAACCCUAGAGGACCAAGAGACAACAAAUCGGCGUCCCACCCUACCCCUACUCUCUAAGAGCUUAGACCCCUACCCCAUCGGCUCCCGUCUUCUUCUUUUUCAGAACCUAUAGCUGCCGCUGCUAGCCUCUAACCUGCUGGAAAUCAGCCGUUCCUGCUCCUCCAUCUUCAACCAAAAAUGGCAGAACCUUGAUUCCACCAACCAAAACAGCCAUUACUCCUCUUCACCACCCCGUUUCCCGUCGUCAAACCACCUUCACCACCCCUUCAUAGCCGCUGCCUGUCACCCCACUCCCUCAUCUCAAAACUUGUUGCUUCUUCACCUUCAACCCAACCGUAGACCCUCCCCAAAUCAACGACUGGCUUCUUCUGCUUCUUCGUCUCCAUCAUCUUCUUUGGAUUUCGAUUUUCAUUUUGCAAUAUAGAAUUAGCUUGAGUGUCAGAUGUUUUGUAUGCGGGUGGUGCCCGUUGUUCGGGUUCAUGUUCGAGGUUCACGGAGUAACUUCCGAUUGCUGUUUUUCCAUCCCAGUUCGUGCUGUGAUUUGCUCGAUUUUGGCUCAAGGGUCUUGUAUAACAUUCGAGUAUCGAAGGAAAUCUGAUAACUCCUUUUGAGGUAUGCAUCAAUUUGCUAGAGUUUGAGCAUGACAAAUACCCCAGGACAAUCCUAGUCAAGACUAUUGCAUGCACGAGCUGCUUGAGGAAAUUUUUUUAUUUUUUAGUCUAUUUUAUGUUGUCUUUUAAUUAUUAGUCUUGUAUAGUAGUAUCGAGUCUGUCAGUCUGGUUAAGAGUUUCGAGUCUUUUGUUAUAGUACUUCCUGUUUUGUAUUUAAAAAAAAGUUAUAAAUGGAAAAUUCAAAAAGA